GGCGGAGCUACACAGGUGAAAAGGAGGUGGGGCUACAUGGCUAAAAAGGGGACUGGGCUACAUGGGACCAGAAGACUGCAGUACCACAGAGGACAUGCUGCUCCAGAUCCUGCCAGCCAGACUGAUAACGGCCUUUAAUGCAUGAAGUCUUGUUUUGGUGAUGGUUGGGGGACACUUCCGGGUUGACGGACUAAUGGUGACAUCACCGGAAAUGCGAUUACCGUAAACGGACGGGUGAUCCGCGCUCUGGAGGCGUUUGAUCACUGUGUCAAUGUAUUUAAGGUUCUUCUACUGCUCCACCAGGCUUCCGCAUUUGAUCCAUUGUUCUGCAGAGUAAGAGAUUGUGGAUUGCAUUUGGAAAACCCCCUCUAGAAAUCCUGCAUUUGCCCCUGCAGAUUAGUUUCACUGUGGAGACAUACUGGCAAGGCAAUAGCACAGGUAAUUGAACUGUAUACAGACAAAGGGCAGGUCUUCUGAAUCGUCCAGAUUGAUAACAUUGUGGACACAUACUGGCAGAUCUCUCAAAUAGCACAGAUAAAUUAGUUCCACUGAGCAGAACAGACCAGGUAUCCAAGUAAACAAGACUGGCAAAAUCAUACUGAUUACAAUCCACAAAGGAGUGUAAGAGGAAAAUCCAUAAAAAGGCUGAACAGCCAAUGAACACAAGUCCAGAAACAAGCAAAGCUCUGAACUGAACUGCAACAAACAAGCAUGAUGAUUUCUGGUCUGCACAUCUGACAGGUUGCCAGGAGACUGAUUGAAGACACUAGAACUACAGUAACUUCAGUAGGAGCUGCUGAACUCUGCUUCUUCUGGACUCUAGCAGAGAGGAAAAGAGUCUAUUAACUGACCAGAAUCCAAUAA